CUGGUGACUCUACCUGAGUGUGUGUUUUCAGCAGAAAUCUUGAAAGAUAUUGAAGACUGAGGACAAUAUUGGAAUGUCUUGACCAUGCUAAUGCCAUCCUUAGGUAACCACCUGGAAACGAGCAGCGAAGGAACCCAUCUGUUCUGUCAUGCCUGCAGGGUGAUCACGUACAGGAACUUGCAGGCCUCCCCCCUGCCCCCAAUAUGUGACUGGUGACUCUGGGCCAGAAUAGUCUGCAGCGGUUGGAGAGCCCCAGCCGCUGGCGCUUGUCUCCUGCCAGCGUCCCGCUCUUAACUGCGGGCACCUGGAAGAGGAUAUGAUCACAGCUGAAUUGUACAAGCCUGCUUGUAACUACUUUAAAAGACACUGAGGUUUUUAUCAUGGCAAUUUGGAACCACGGUUCUUUCAAAGCCGAGAAAAAAAACACCUCGAAUUUUCCUCCUUGUGAGAGGCUUUAGCUGGGGAGACCCAGCUCGUUUGCUGAACAGGCAUGGCUCGGUUGGGGAGGCUGCUGCCCUCCGUUUCUCACCCCAUGACGCUGGUCUCCAGCGCUGUGCUCAGCUGGGGCUUGGCGCUGACACCACCAAGGCUUGAACCUCCUCUCCAGGACCGGGACUACCUGAAACCGGAGCACCAGGUGCUCUGCGACCUGGGUGCCGAGGCAAAAAACACCGGUCUCCAACCAGCCUCGCCGAACAGUCAACAAAUGGUGCUGUACAGAUGGAGCAUAUUAGAUGUCCUUUGUACCCAAGAGCUUGCAUUCAGUAGAGACAAGACAGAUGAAGGACAGGAUGAAGGAAUAAAUACCAGAGAGGUUUGCUGUACUCAGUUUUUUUCAGGACACCGUUUAUCACUCUGUUAUCUUCCAGAAGUACAUUAAGUGAUGCGAUUAGUACUCAUUGUGUGCAGUUAUCUAUCUUUCUUUUCAAAGAGAAAAAUUCUCAAGCUUCUUGAGGUAGGUUUUUAAACACAUUUCCUUAUUGA
rnacentral:lncRNA from 1 species